GCACAUAGCUCAGUGGUAGAGUAUCUGCUUUGGAUGCAGAAUAUUCUGAUUUCAAUUCUUAGCACAGUGGUGGUGAACC
rnacentral:tRNA from 1 species